CCUACGGGAGUCAGCAGUGAGGAAUAUUGGUCAAUGGGCGGGAGCCUGAACCAGCCAAGUCGCGUGAGGGAAGACGGUCCUAUUGAUUGUAAACCUCUUUAGGCGGGGAGCAAUGCCGGGCACGCGUGCCCGGCGGGAGAGUACCCGCAGAAUAAGCAUCGGCUAACUCCGUGCCAGCAGCCGCGGUAAUACGGAGGAUGCGAGCGGUAUCCGGAUUUAUUGGGUUUAAAGGGUGCGUAGGCUGAUUUUUAAGGCAGCGGUAACAUGUCCGGGAUCAACCCGGGCCGGCCGUUGACACUGGGGAUAUGGAGUGGGCGAUAAGUAUGUGGAAUGCGUGGUGUAGCGGUGAAAUGCAUA
rnacentral:rRNA from 1 species